rnacentral:rRNA from 1 species
UACGGAGGAUGCAAGCGUUAUCCGGAAUGAUUGGGCGUAAAGCGUCCGCAGGUGGCAAUGUAAGUCUGCUGUCAAAGCGUCUGGCUCAACCAGAUAAAGGCAGUGGAAACUACAUAGCUAGAGUAAGGUAGGGGUAGAAGGAAUUCCUGGUGUAGCGGUGAAAUGCGUAGAGAUCAGGAAGAACACCGGUGGCGAAAGCGUUCUGCUAGACCUGUACUGACACUGAGGGACGAAAGCUAGGGGAGCGAAUGGG